rnacentral:rRNA from 1 species
UUCGCCCUUAGAGUUUGAUCCUGGCUCAGGACGAACGCUGGCGGCGCGCCUAACACAUGCAAGUCGAACGAGCGAGAGAGAGCUUGCUUUCUCGAGCGAGUGGCGAACGGGUGAGUAACGCGUGAGGAACCUGCCUCAGAGAGGGGGACAACAGUUGGAAACGACUGCUAAUACCGCAUAAGCCCACAGGUCGGCAUCGACCAGAGGGAAAAGGAGCAAUCCGCUUUGAGAUGGCCUCGCGUCCGAUUAGCUAGUUGGUGAGGUAACGGCCCACCAAGGCAACGAUCGGUAGCCGGACUGAGAGGUUGAACGGCCACAUUGGGACUGAGACACGGCCCAGACAUCCUACGGGAGGCAGCAGUGGGGAAUAUUGCACAAUGGGGGAAACCCUGAUGCAGCCGACGCCGCGUGGAGGAAGAAGGUUUUCGGAUUGUAAACUCCUGUUGUUGAGGAAGAUAAUGACGGUACUCAACAAGGAAGUGACGGCUAACUACGUGCCAGCAGCCGCGGUAAAACGUAGGUCACAAGCGUUGUCCGGAAUUACUGGGUGUAAAGGGAGCGCAGGCGGGAAGACAAGUUGGAAGUGAAAUCUAUGGGCUCAACCCAUAAACUGCUUUCAAAACUGUUUUUCUUGAGUAGUGCAGAGGUAGGCGGAAUUCCCGGUGUAGCGGUGGAAUGCGUAGAUAUCGGGAGGAACACCAGUGGCGAAGGCGGCCUACUGGGCACCAACUGACGCUGAGGCUCGAAAGUGUGGGUAGCAAACAGGAUUAGAUACCCUGGUAGUCCACACCGUAAACGAUGAUUACUAGGUGUUGGAGGAUUGACCCCUUCAGUGCCGCAGUUAACACAAUAAGUAAUCCACGUGGGGAGUACGACCGCAAGGUUGAAACUCAAAGGAAUUGACGGGGGCCCGCACAAGCAGUGGAGUAUGUGGUUUAAUUCGACGCAACGCGAAGAACCUUACCAAGUCUUGACAUCCUGCGACGAUGCUGGAAACAGUAUUUUCCUUCGGGACGCAGAGACAGGUGGUGCAUGGUUGUCGUCAGCUCGUGUCGUGAGAUGUUGGGUUAAGUCCCGCAACGAGCGCAACCCUUACUGUCAGUUACUACGCAAGAGGACUUUGGCAGGACUGCCGUUGACAAAACGGAGGAAGGUGGGGAUGACGUCAAAUCAUCAUGCCCCUUAUGACUUGGGCUACACACGUACUACAAUGGCGUUAAACAAAGAGAAGCAAGCCCGCGAGGUGGAGCAAAACUCAGAAACAACGUCCCAGUUCGGACUGCAGGCUGCAACUCGCCUGCACGAAGUCGGAAUUGCUAGUAAUCGUGGAUCAGCAUGCCACGGUGAAUACGUUCCCGGGCCUUGUACUCACCGCCCGUCA